GUCCCCAUAGCUCAGUUGGAUAGAGCGCUUUCCUUCUAAGAAAGAGGUCGCAGGUCCGAUCCCUGCUGGGGAUA
rfam:Microgenomates (Shapirobacteria) bacterium GW2011_GWE1_38_10 TS68_C0006, whole genome shotgun sequence.